rnacentral:rRNA from 1 species
GGAAUCUGCCUUUCGGUGGGGGAUAACCAAAGGAAACUUUGGCUAAUACCGCAUAACGCCUACGGGUUAAAGCCAUUGGCGCCGGAAGAUGAGCCUGUGUUCGAUUAGCUAGUUGGUGAGAUAAUAGCUCACCAAGGCAACGAUCGAUAGCUGGUCUGAGAGGACGAUCAGCCACAGUGGAACUGAGACACGGUCCACACUCCUACGGGAGGCAGCAGUGGGGAAUUUUCCGCAAUGGGCGAAAGCCUGACGGAGCGAUACCGCGUGUCGGACGAAGGCCUUAGGGUUGUAAACGACUGUUAGGAGGGAAGAACACAAUGACGGUACCUCCAAAGAAAGCACCGGCUAACUCUGUGCCAGCAGCCGCGGUAAGACAGAGGGUGCAAGCGUUGUCCGGAAUUACUGGGCGUAAAGCGUCCGUAGGCGGCUCGUUAAGUCCGAAGUUAAAGGGUUGAGCUCAACUCAGCCAUGCUCCGGAUACUGAUGAGCUAGAGUAUGUCAGGGGUUACUGGAAUUCCCGGUGUAGUGGUGAAAUACGUAGAUAUCGGGAGGAACUCCGGUGGCGAAAGCGAGUAACUGGGGCAUAACUGACGCUGAGGGACGAAAGCGUGGGGAGCAAAAAGGAUUAGAUACCCUUGUAGUCCACGCCGUAAACGAUGAAUACUAGGUGUUGCAGGUUUCGACCCCUGCAGUGCUGUAGCUAACGCGUUAAGUAUUCCGCCUGGGAAGUACGCUCGCAAGAGUGAUACUCAAAGGAAUGGACGGGGAUCCGCUCAAGAGGUGGAUCAUGUGGUUUAAUUCGAUGCAACGCGAAGAACCUCUCCUAGGCUUGACAUGUGGAGAUCUCCGCUGAAACGGCGGAGGUGCCCGCAAGGGAGCUCCAACACAGGUGCUGCAUGGUUGUCGUCAGCUCGUGUCGUGAGAUGUUGAGGUUAAGUCCCGCAUCGAGCGCAACCCCUGUCGUUAGUUGCCAUCAUUAAGUUGGGCACUCUAGGCGAGACUGCCGGUGAUAAUCCGAAGGAAGGUGGGGAUGACGUCAAAUCAGCAUGGCCCUUACGCCUAGGGCUACACACGUGUUACAAUGGU